CCCUUAGAUGUUCUGGGCCGCACGCGUGCUACACUGAGUGGAUCAGCGGGUCAGGUUACGCGAGAGCGUUUCCUAAUCUUCAAAUCCGCUCGUGAUGGGGAUUGACGGUUGCAAUUUUCCGUCAUGAACGAGGAAUACCUUGUAAGCGCGGGUCAUCAUCCCGCGCUGAAUACGUCCCUGCCCUUGGUACACACCGCCCGUCGCUCCUACCGAUUGAGUGGUCCGGUGAGGCUUUGGGAUCUAAGCGAAAAGAGCGUUUCGCUCCUUUUGCUGGGAGAACUCAGUCGAACCUUAUCAUUUAGAGGAAGGAGAAGUCGUAACA
rnacentral:rRNA from 1 species